AUUGAACGCUGGCGGCGUGCUUAACACAUGCAAGUCGAGCGGUAACAGGUGUAGCAAUACAUGCUGACGAGCGGCGAACGGGUGAGUAAUGCUUCGGAAUCUUCCUCGUAGUGGGGAAUAACCUGGGGAAACUCAGGCUAAUACCGCAUACGAACUACGGUUGAAAGCAGGGGAUCGCAAGACCUUGCGCUAUGAGAUGAGCCGAAGUCGGAUUAGCUAGUUGGUGAGGUAAAGGCUCACCAAGGCGACGAUCUGUAGCGGGUCUGAGAGGAUGAUCCGCCACACUGGGACUGAGACACGGCCCAGACUCCUACGGGAGGCAGCAGUGGGGAAUAUUGGACAAUGGGCGCAAGCCUGAUCCAGCCAUGCCGCGUGAGUGACGAAGGCCUUAGGGUUGUAAAGCUCUUUUGUCGGGGACGAUAAUGACGGUACCCGAAGAAUAAGCUCCGGCUAACUUCGUGCCAGCAGCCGCGGUAAU
rnacentral:rRNA from 1 species